rnacentral:rRNA from 1 species
UGGGGAAUAUUGGACAAUGGGCGCAAGCCUGAUCCAGCCAUGCCGCGUGAGUGAUGAAGGCCCUAGGGUUGUAAAGCUCUUUCACCGGUGAAGAUAGUGAAGGUAACCGGAGAAGAAGCCCCGGCUAACUUCGUGCCAGCAGCCGCGGUAAUACGAAGGGGGCUAGCGUUGUUCGGAUUUACUGGGCGUAAAGCGCACGUAGGCGGAAUAUUAAGUCAGGGGUGAAAUCCCGGGGCUCAACCCCGGAACUGCCUUUGAUACUGGUAGUCUUGAGUUCGAGAGAGGUGAGUGGAAUUCCGAGUGUAGGGGUGAAAUUCGUAGAUAUUCGGAGGAACACCAGUGGCGAAGGCGGCUCACUGGCUCGAUACUGACGCUGAGGUGCGAAAGCGUGGGGAGCAAACAGG